GACGAACGCUGGCGGCGUGCUUAACACAUGCAAGUCGAACGGAAAGGCCCUGCUUUUGUGGGGUGCUCGAGUGGCGAACGGGUGCGUAACACGUGAGUAACCUGCCCUUGACUUUGGGAUAACUUCAGGAAACUGGGGCUAAUACCGGAUAGGAGCUCCUGCUGCAUGGUGGGGGUUGGAAAGUUUCGGCGGUUGGGGAUGGACUCGCGGCUUAUCAGCUUGUUGGUGGGGUAGUGGCUUACCAAGGCUUUGACGGGUAGCCGGCCUGAGAGGGUGACCGGCCACAUUGGGACUGAGAGACGGCCCAGACUCCUACGGGAGGCAGCAGUGGGGAAUAUUGCACAAUGGGCGGAAGCCUGAUGCAGCAACGCCGCGUGCGGGAUGACGGCCUUCGGGGUGUAAACCGCUUUCGCCUGUGACGAAGCGUGAGUGACGGUAAUGGGUAAAGAAGCACCGGCUAACUACGUG
rnacentral:rRNA from 1 species